rnacentral:rRNA from 1 species
AGAGUUUGAUCCUGGCUCAGAUUGAACGCUGGCGGCAUGCUUUACACAUGCAAGUCGAACGGCAGCGGGGGCUUCGGCCUGCCGGCGAGUGGCGAACGGGUGAGUAAUGCAUCGGAACGUGCCCAUGUCGUGGGGGAUAACGUAGCGAAAGCUACGCUAAUACCGCAUACGCCCUGAGGGGGAAAGCGGGGGAUCUUUCGGGACCUCGCGCGAUUGGAGCGGCCGAUGUCGGAUUAGCUAGUUGGUGGGGUAAAGGCUCACCAAGGCGACGAUCCGUAGCUGGUCUGAGAGGAUGAUCAGCCACACUGGGACUGAGACACGGCCCAGACUCCUACGGGAGGCAGCAGUGGGGAAUAUUGGACAAUGGGCGAAAGCCUGAUCCAGCGACGCCGCGUGUCGGAAGGAGUCCUUCGGGAUGUAAACGACUUUUGGUGGAGACGAAUAAGCAGCUCAGGGAAUGGGGCUGUGAUGACGGUAUCCAUGGAAUAAGCCCCGGCUAACUACGUGCCAGCAGCCGCGGUAAGACGUAGGGGGCAAGCGUUACCCGGAAUUACUGGGCGUAAAGGGAGCGUAGGCGGGAGGUCAAGUCCGGUGUGAAAGACCCUGGCUCAACCAGGGAUGAGGGCUGGAAACUGACAAUCUUGAGUACAGCAGAGGAAGAGGGAAUUACCGGUGUAGGGGUGAAAUCCGUAGAGACCGGUAAGAAGGCCAGUGGCGAAGGCGCUUUUCUGGGCUGUUACUGACGCUGAGGCUCGAAAGCCAGGGGAGCAAACCGGAUUAGAUACCCGGGUAGUCCUGGCCGUAAACGAUGCUCACUAGGUGUGGGGCGCAUAGCGUGCUCUGCGCUGAAGCAAACGCAAUAAGUGAGCCGCCUGGGGAGUACGUCCGCAAGGAUGAAACUCAAAGGAAUUGACGGGGGCCCGCACAAGCGGUGGAGCGUGUGGUUUAAUUCGACGUUAAGCGAAGAACCUUACCAGGUCUUGACAUAUCCGUGGUAGUGAACUGAAAGGGGAACGACGAGGGCGAAUGCUCUUGAGCGGAUACAGGUGGUGCAUGGUCGUCGUCAGCUCGUGCCGUGAGGUGUUGGGUUAAGUCCCGCAACGAGCGCAACCCCUGUGGUUAGUUGCCAACACGAAGGUGGGCACUCUAGCCAGACUGCCGCCGACGAGGCGGAGGAAGGAGGGGAUGACGUCAGAUCAUCAUGCCCUUUAUGAUCUGGGCUACACACGCGCUACAAUGGGGUGAGCAGAAGGGGACGAGGCUGCGAAGCCAAGGGAAUCCGGAAAACGCCCCUCAGUUCAGAUUGCAGGCUGCAACCCGCCUGCAUGAAGAUGGAAUCGCUAGUAA